rnacentral:lncRNA from 1 species
CCCUCCAAUUGAAUAGCCAUUCUUUAAAUUCAACUAUCUGACUAACUGAAUACCCUUGACUGUUUUAUUGUCUAGUCCACAUCUCCCCAUCUUGUCUAUAAGACUAGUAUGACAUGUUUUAUUAAAAGUAAAUCAAUAGGAAUCUUUCCCUCUACUAGUUCACUAAUAUUGUGAAAAAAAGAAAUGAGAUUCGUAUGGAACCUCCUCCCCCCAUUCUUGAUGAUGCCAUAUUGACUAUUACUCAAGUUUUUAUGGAAGAGAGCCGUUCACUCACGAGGAUGGAAACAGACCCUGGAAUCUCCAUUUGGGAGUGUUUUGAAGAGAUGGAAGAAUGACUUGGAGUAAUGCAGCUCUAUUCCCCCUGCACAGAGCGAGUGCCAACUCGGCUGUCUCCAUU